AUGGACUGGACCUGAAGGAUCCUCUUCUUGAUGGCAGCAGCAACAGGUGCCCACUCCCUGCAGCUGGUGCAGUCUGGGCCUGAGGUGAAGAAGCCUGGGGCCUCAGUGAAGGUCUCCUAUAAGUCUUCUGGUUACACCUUCACCAUCUAUGGUAUGAAUUGGGUAUGAUAGACCCCUGGACAGGGCUUUGAGUGGAUGUGAUGGAUCAUCACCUACACUGGGAACCCAACGUAUACCCACGGCUUCACAGGAUGGUUUGUCUUCUCCAUGGACACGUCUGUCAGCACGGCGUGUCUUCAGAUCAGCAGCCUAAAGGCUGAGGACACGGCCGAGUAUUACUGUGCGAAGUA